ACAACACAGAGGUUGUUAGACAAUGUGACUCCAUCAAUUGUAUUGCAUCUGGGUAGGACGAUCUCUCAGUUAUCAUUUGUGAUUCUUGUCAACAAGUCUUUCAUAUGAUCUGCGAAGGGGAAAAUUUAACUUCUCUGGAGAUCCAAGGCCAUGUAGAUGCGGUACAUCAGGACACAUCUUUAGAAUGGACCUGCUGUACCUGCCGGGAUGAAGAACCACUAGGUUGGUUAAAUCAUAUUUAUUUUGUUGAAAUGUCAACAGCUUUAAUUCAACCGAAAAUACAAGUCACACCUCACAAAUUUUAAUCCUAAAUAUUAUAGGUCAUGUGUUAGAAGCUGUUGAUAGAUCAACACGAACACUGGAUAAAUUAGAUUUUGAAGUUCUGUCCCUACGAGCCGAAGCUAUUGAGGAGGAGAGAAUUAUGGAAAAGUGUCCUGGUAAUACAAAUUUUUUUGUUGCAGUGGUUUCGACUCAAAUUAUGCAUUUCACCCAACCAAUCACUUUAUACACUUAAACAGAAUUGUUUUUUCCUUUAUAAUCUUUCCUUGAUGAGAAAAAAUGGGACUUGUAUUGGCAGUUAUAUCGCCUGGUUGACAAUGAAUUAAAUCACAUCAUCAUUUAAAGAAUCAAUCGCAACAAUUUUUGUAGUACCUCUGAUUUAGGUGUCAGAAUGAAAAGGUUUCAAUCCCUUAUCAAAUCAUUGAGUGUAUCUAGAGGUGAAUAUUUUCCUGGCAUCAUGAUGGGAAAACAUGUGAUGAAGCUAAUUCGAGGUAAAAAUGAAAGGCGUUUAUGUAAUAAGAAUGAUAACAUGAGCUGUAGUUUCUUAUAAUUUUGGAUUAAAGCAAUCAAACGUAUGACUUGAGUUGAUACUACAUUUAAAGACGACCAUUCCUAAAUCUCUAAGAUACAAUUGAAACCUUGAUCUGACCAAAACAUGGGUAUCUAAUUCAUACUUGAUCAAAAUUUGUGCAGCACUCCCUGACCUCCUUGAGAACCUCAUUGGAGAAAAAGAUCCUGACUGGGUUAGGCUCCUUACAACAGUAGAUGGAAUAUUUUUCCGGUAAUUUAUUUUACACCAUGAUAAUUUGUCUAAUUGUAAAUAAUGGCUGCUAAGAAUCACAGAUGAGUCGGUACCCGCUCAUCGAACCUAGAGGAAACGAACCUAACGUUUUUCUGACC